GUAGGUGGCAAGCGUUGUCCGGAAUUAUUGGGGCGUAAAGCGCGCGCAGGUGGUUCUUUAAGUCUGAUGUGAAAGCCCCCCGGGCUCAACCGGGGAGGGUCAUUGGAAACUGGGGAACUUGAGUGCAGGAGAGGAAAGUGGAAUUCCACGUGUAGCGGUGAAAUGCGUAGAUAUGUGGAGGAACACCAGUGGCGAAGGCGACUUUCUGGCCUGUAACUGACACUGAGGCGCGAAAGCGUGGGGAGCAAACAGGAUUAGAUACCCUGGUAGUCCACGCCGUAAACGAUGAGUGCUAAGUGUUGGGGGGUUUCCGCCCCUCAGUGCUGCAGCUAACGCAUUAAGCACUCCGCCUGGGGAGUACGGUCGCAAAGACUG
rnacentral:rRNA from 1 species